AUGGAGAGUUUGAUCCUGGCUCAGGAUGAACGCUGGCGGUAUGCUUAACACAUGCAAGUCGAACGAGAGUUUUUAACUCUAGUGGCGAACGGGUGCGUAAUACGUGAGAAUCUGCCCCUAGGAGAAGAAUAACUACUGGAAACGGUAGCUAAGUCUUCAUAUGCUGAGAGGUAAAAUAGUUUAAACUGCCUAGGGAUGAGCUCACGCCUGAU
rnacentral:rRNA from 1 species